UGGGAUUCUUGUUUCAAUAAUUUCUAAUAGAGAUACUCAGUUUACUUUUAAAUUUUGCACAAGUUUUUGGCACUACACUAUCCUUCAGUAUAGCCUUUCACCCUUAGAUGGAUGGACAAUUAGAAAAAAUCAUCUAGACUUUGGAGGAUAUACUUCAAGCUUAUGUUCUUAAUUUAUGAGGGAAUUGGGAUGAUCACAUUCCGCUAAUCGAGUUUUAUCAGUCCAAUAUUAGUAUGGCUCUAUAUGAAGCUUUUUAUGGCAAACCUUACAGAUCUCCAGUGUUUUGAGAAGGGGUAGGAGAUUGAAAAUUUUAUAGACU
rnacentral:lncRNA from 1 species